GACGAACGCUGGCGGCGUGCUUAACACAUGCAAGUCGAACGGAAAGGCCCUGCUUUUGUUGGGUGCUCGAGUGGCGAACGGGUGAGUAAAACGUGAGUAACCUGCCCUUGUCUUUGGGAUAACUUCAGGAAACUGGGGCUAAUACCGGAUAGGAUCUCCUGCUGCAUGGUGGGGGUUGGAAAGUUUCGGCUGUUGUGGAUGGACUCGCGGCUUAUCCGCUUGUUGGUGUGGUAGUUGCAUACCAAGGCUUUGACGGGUAGCCGGCCUGAGAGGGUGACCGGCCACAUUGGGACUGAGAUACGGCCCAGACUCCUACGGGAGGCAGCAGUGGGGAAUAUUGCAGAAUGGGCGGAAGCCUGAUGCAGCAACGCCGCGUGCGGGAUGACGGCCUUCGGGUUGUAAACCGCUUUCGCCUGUGACGAAGAGUGAGUGACGGUAAUGGGUAAAGAAGCACCGGCUAACUACGUG
rnacentral:rRNA from 1 species